UUGGCCUCACAAAGUGUUGGGAUUACAGGCGUGAGCCACCGCGCCCGGCCGAGAAUGUCUUGAUAUUCCUUUCCUUCCUGAAGGAAUGUUUCCCCAGAUAAGGAAUUCACAGUUGACCAUGCUUUUCUUUCAGCACUUAAAAAAUAUUGUGCCACUUCCUUCUGGCCUCCAUGGUUUGAGAUGGAGAACUCUGCUGUCACCCUCAUUGAUCUUUCCCUUCACACCAAUGCCAAUUCCAGACUAACAUCCUGAAGCUCCAGUUUUGAGGGGUGCAAGCUGCAAGACUGAUAUCAACAUCCACCAAAUACCACUGAUGAGUGGCAAGUAUUAAAAAAACACAGAAAAUCCCACAGCAUGUUGUGGGUUGAAUUAUGCUUCUUCCCUCCCCAGAAGAGGUAAGUUGAAGUCCUAACACUGAGUAGCUAGAAAUGUGACCUUAUUUGGAAAUAGGGUCAUUGAAGAUGCACUUAGUUAAUGUGAGGUCAUACUGGAGUAGGGUGGACCCCAGUCCAAUAUGGGUGUCAUUAUAAGAAGAUGGUCAAAGGCCGUAGGAAGACAGAGACACACAGGGAGAAUACUAUGUGAUAACGAAGGCAGAGGCUAGAGUUACAUGGCUCCAAGCAAAGGAGCACCAAAGGUUGUCAAACCACCAGAAGCUGGGAAGGAUCAAAGGAUGAUUCCUCUUACAGACUUCAGAGAGAGCAUGGCCCUGCCUGCACCUUGAUUUCAGAUUUCCAGACUUCAGAACUGUUUUUUAACCCACCCAGUUUGUGGUACUUUAUUAUGGAAACCCUAAGAAAUGAGUACGCAGGGUUAAGGUUACUCAUCUGUAGGGAACGUGGAAGUUUGUGGGUUAUUACUCUCGAAAUAUCAUUUAACCAAAGGUCACAGUUAUCCAGUGUUCCCCUCCUAGAAAGAUGCUCCUUUGACACACACACUAUGGUUUCCCAUCGCUUUUAACAGGGUGAGGAAUUAAGUCCCAGGAUGAGGAUUUUCUUCUCAACUCAACACAAGCUCAUUUUAUCACUUUUUAUAAGCAAGACCAACACCUACCUUCAUGGGGCUGUAGGAGCCCCUGCUAAUGAAGUCAGGAGAACAGAUCAUCAGCUCAAGGGACAGAAACGUCAACUUCACCCAGGCAUCCCAGGACCUCCGUGGCUUCAGGACACUGUCCUUGCCUGUCUUGCUAUAGAGCAGUGUUUCAUAACCUUUGUUUUACAUUGUUGCCUUUUCAGACAUUUUCCCCCUAAUUACCCCCUGGAUAAAAUUUUAAUACCACAGUUAUACUGUCUACCUUAAGCACAACAGAGUGGGGAUAUGAACUGCUGAAAACACCUUAGACAACAACUUGUAUUUUAAUCAUCCAUUUUCUCAUAUAGCAUCAUCUGUAUAUAUGUCUCUGCUUUAUAGAUAAAGAGAGCAAGGUUUUUUUUUCUCCCUCCAAAGGCCACUUUUUGCCCCCUUAGAGGAAUAUAAUCCUGUUGAGAAGGCACACCCUAGAGUCCAAAAUCUGGGUUUGGAUCCUGCUCCUGCCCUUACUUGGAAAAUUACCUUGGGUAAAUUACUGUCUCGGUGAGCUCAGUUUCCACAACUGUAAAAGGGGGGUACUGUCCACCUGACGGGACUACAUAUAAUAAGGUGGAGAAUGUUGACACCUAAUCAAGAUUACUCUUCUCCCAUCUACUCUCUGCUUGCAGCCUAGAUUCAGCCCUCAGAAGUUAGUCUUGCCUAAACUUGGCCCAGGCUUUCAAGUCUGCCCCUUCUUGCUCUUUACUUUAUAUAGCCUGCCCUUCCCUCCUGUUCUCACCUGCUGUACACUCUUCUCAUGGAAGUCCAGCGCAUGCAUCCCUUCCCCUGGGACACUUGUCAUGUUGUUGCUCUAGCCACUGGGCUCCCUGAGAAUUUUGCAAUCUCCGGCAGAGCACUCUUUACUCCUCCACAACCACCCAUGCACAGACCUUUUUCCACAAAAGCUUCCAUAAGCAUGAAUAGUGAUCAAUUCAUCUCUUUAACCUUGACUAUUAAUGUAGGCCUGGGAACUUGCUGAAAGAGUGAACCAGUUGUUUUUCCUUAUAAAAGAAAUUUCAAGGAGAUCAAAAUUCCCACCUGGUUUGUUCCCCCAACAUAACUGUCAUGUAAGCUAUGCAAAUAUGCUUCAAGAAGAAAAGAGGAAAAGAAUAUUACAAGUAAAACACAGACCAACAAUUUCUACUUCCAAAAUUAUAUACAAAGAUGCAAGUGAAAAUUUGAACAAACCAUUCUCCAGAAAAUUGUUGAUGGGCAGUAAGCAGUUGAUAGUACUUUAGCAUAGACCUUUUGUAUAGGUCAAACUCAGUAAGCAUUCAUAGAAGAAAUAAGUAAUAAAUAUGUUGCUUUACUACUGGAUAUGUCAGUGUGUAUUUCCAAGAACAAGGACACUCUCUUACAUAAACAUGGAAAAUGAUCAAUUCAGGGAAAUUUUAAAUUACUACAAUACUAUUCCCCUACUAUCCAUAAACAAAUAUUUCCAACUGUCCCAAUGUCCUUUGUAGCUAUAUUCCCCUACCUUAGGAGUUGAUCAAGGAUCAGGCAGUUCAUUUAGCUGUCAUGUCUCCUUAGUCUUCUUUAAUCCAAACAUUUUCUCAGCCUUUGUCUUUUGUGACAUCAACAUUUUGAAAAAUUUAAGCCAGUUUAUAUAUAUGUAUUUGUUUGAUGUUUCCUCAAAAUUAGAUUUAUACUGAAAUUUGGACAGGUGGAUUGUCUCUCAUGGUACAUAAGCUUCACACCAACAUCUCCUAAAUCUUUUUUUCCUUCAAAUUCUUUAAUCUAGUCAAGAGAUUUGGCAGUUGUACAGCUUUUCCACUAAACAGCCCUGUGUAACUUGGGAUUUUUCAGGCACACAGUAACUUUCUUUGACUUGCUACAUCUUGGUGUAUAAAGACAUCUCAAGAGCUAAUUAUCCAAGGUAAGGUAAUGAAAAAUGGCACACGAUGCUACCAGCACAAAUAACUCAGUGAAGUGAUCAUUUCAAUAAUAGAUAUUUUUCACACAAGGCCAAGUCAACAAAUGAACAGGCAAUUAUAUUUACAAUUUAUUUUUUCCACGGUGCCUGGCAAGUAUAUUUUUGAAGACCCAUCCUGAUUUCAGAAACGUUAAAAUGUAAAGCACAGUCAUUUUAUAAUCAAUUUAAUAGAAUCCAGAGUUAACCUUAUCUGAUUAUUAGUCAAAAUUUGGGUGCCCAUGGAUUUUGUAUGGGUCCUCCUACACAUUACACAUAUUCUAGAAUUUAUGUUUUAUUUAAAAUGAAAUAUAUUUGAUACAAUAUUUAUACUAAUCUUUUAAUAUCUUUUAAUGUUGUCUUUCUCAUUUUAAUAAUAAGUAGGGCUUUCAGAACUAAGGCUGCACACCUAUGACCAUCUGAUCUUCAACAAAGCUGACAAAAACAAGCAACGGGGAAAGGACUUCCUAAUCAAUAAAUGGUGCUGGGAUAACUGGCUAGCCAUGUGCAGAAGAUUGAAGCUGAACCCCUUCCUUGCGCUAUAUAUGAAAAUCAGCUCAAGAUAGAUUAAAGAGUUAAAUGUGAAAUCCAAAACUAUAAAAACCCUGGAAGACAACCUAGGCAAUACCAUCCUGGACACAGGAACAGGCAAACAUUUCAUGACAAAUACACCAAAAGAAAUUGCAACAAAAGCAAAAAUUGACAAAUGGGAUCUAAUUCAACUUAAGAGCUUCUGCACAGCAAAAGAAACUAUCAGAGUAAAGAGUCAAUCUACAGAAUGGGAGAAAAUUUUUACAAACUACGCAUCAGAAAAAAGUCUAAUAUCCAGCAUCUAUAAGGAAUUAAACAAAUUUACAAGAGAAAAAUAAAUAUCCCCAUUACAAAGUGGGCAAAGUUCAUGAACAGACACUUCUCAAAAGAAGACAUACAUGUGGUCAACAAGCAUCUGAAAAAAUCCAAUAUCACUGAUCAUUAGAGAAAUGCAAAUCAAAACCACAAUGAGAUACCAUCUGACACCAGUCAGAAUGGCUAUUAUAAAAAGUUAAACAAACAAACAAAAAACAACCCAACAGAUGCUUGUGAGGUUGCAGAGAAAUGGGAACACUUAUACACUGUUGGUGGGAGUGUAAAUUAGUUCAGUCAUCGUGGAAAGCAGUAUGGCAAUUCCUCAAAGAACUAAAAACAGAACUACCAUUCAACCCAGCAAUCCCAUUACUGGGUACAUACCCAAAGGAGUAUAAAUCAUUCUACCAUAAAGACACAUACACAUGUAUGUUCACUGCAGCACUAUUCACAAUAGCAAAGACAUGCAAUCAACUUAAAUGCCCAUCAAUGACAGACUGGAUAAGGAAAAUGUGGCACAUAUACACCAUGGAAUAUGAUGCAGCCGUAAAAAAGAACAAGACCAUGUCUUUUAUGGGAACAUGAGUGGAGAUGGAGGCUAUUAGCCUUAGCAAACUAACAAAGGAACAGAAAACCAAAUACCACAUGUUCUCACUUAUAGGUGGAAGCUAAAUGAUGAGAACUCAUGAACACGAGGAAGGGAAAAACAGACACUGGGGUCUACUGGAGGGUGGAGGGUAGGAGAAGGGAGAGGAGCAGAAAGAUAACUAUUGGGUACUGGGCUUAAUAACUGGGUAAUGAAAUAAUCUGUACAACAAACCCCUGUGACAGAAGUUUACCUGUAUAACAAACCUUCACAUGUACUCUUGAACCUAAAAUAAAAGUUAAAAAUGAA